rnacentral:rRNA from 1 species
AUUGAACGCUGGCGGCAGGCCUAACACAUGCAAGUCGAACGAGUGGCGGACGGGUGAGUAAUGUCUGGGAAACUGCCUGAUGGAGGGGGAUAACUACUGGAAAAGGUAGCUAAUACCGCAUACCAUCGGAUGUGCCCAGAUGGGAUUAGCUAGUAGGUGGGGUAAAGGCUCACCUAGGAGACGAUCCCUAGCUGGUGUGAGAGGAUGACCAGGCGCACUGGAACUGAGACACGGUCCAGACUCCCAGGCGAGGCAGGAGUGGGGAAUAUUGCACAAUGGGCGCAAGCCUGAUGCAUCGAUGCCGCGUGGAUGAAUAAGGCCUUGGGGUUUUAAGGUACUUUCAGCGGGGAGGCGUUACCCGCAGAAGAAGCACCGGCUAACUCCGUGCCAGCAGCCGCGGUAAUAC